rnacentral:rRNA from 1 species
CCCGGGGGACCCGAAUUGUAAUUUGGGAGAAGGAGCUUCUGGGUGCGGCCACGGUCCAAGUCCUUUGGAAUUGGGCGUCAUAGAGGGUGAGAAUCCCGUACGCGGCCGAUGGUCUAUCCCGCACGAAGCCCUUUCGACGAGUCGAGUUGUUUGGGAAUGCAGCUCUAAAUGGGUGGUAAACUUCAUCUAAAGCUAAAUAUCGGCUGGAGACCGAUAGCGCACAAGUAGAGUGAUCGAAAGAUGAAAAGAACUUUGAAAAGAGAGUCAAACAGUACGUGAAAUUGUUGAAAGGGAAGCGCUUGCAACCAGACUCGCGCGCGGGGUUCAGCCGUUCUUCGGGGCGGUGUACUCCCCGCGCGCGGGCCAGCAUCAGUUCGGGCGGCCGGAUAAAGACCCGGGGAACGUAGCUCUCUUCGGGGAGUGUUAUAGCCUCGGGUGUCAUGCGGCCAGCCUGGACUGAGGAUCGCGCUCCGCUAGGAUGCUGGCGUAAUGGUUGCCAGCGACCCGUCUUGAAACACGGACCAAGGAGUCGACCAACUGGGCGAGUAUUUGGGCGUUAAACCCAGAUGCGUAAUGAAAGUGAACGAGGUGGGAGCCUCCGGGUGCACCAUCGACCGAUCUUGAUGUCUUCGGAUGGAUUUGAGUAUGAGCCCAGGUGGUCGGACCCGAAAGACGGUGAGCUAUGCGUGAAUAGGGUGAAGCCAGAGGAAACUCUGGUGGAGGCUCGCAGCGGUUCUGACGUGCAAAUCGAUCGUCAAAUUUGCGCAUAGGGGCGAAAGACUAAUCGAACCGUCUAGUAGCUGGUUCCUGCCGAAGUUUCCCUCAGGAUAGCAGCAACGGGAAUCAUAGUCUCAUGAGGUAGAGCAACGAUUAGAGGCCUGGGGGACGCAAUGUCCUUCACCUAUUCUCGAACUUCGAAUAUGUGAGAAGUCCUUGUUGUUUAAUUAAACGUGGACAUGUGGAUAUGUCGUUGCUAGUGGGCCAUUUUG